rnacentral:rRNA from 1 species
AAAUUGAAGAGUUUGAUCAUGGCUCAGAUUGAACGCUGGCGGCAGGCCUAACACAUGCAAGUCGAGCGGUAGCACAGAGAGCUUGCUCUCGGGUGACGAGCGGCGGACGGGUGAGUAAUGUCUGGGAAACUGCCUGAUGGAGGGGGAUAACUACUGGAAACGGUAGCUAAUACCGCAUAAUGUCGCAAGACCAAAGUGGGGGACCUUCGGGCCUCAUGCCAUCAGAUGUGCCCAGAUGGGAUUAGCUAGUAGGUGGGGUAACGGCUCACCUAGGCGACGAUCCCUAGCUGGUCUGAGAGGAUGACCAGCCACACUGGAACUGAGACACGGUCCAGACUCCUACGGGAGGCAGCAGUGGGGAAUAUUGCACAAUGGGCGCAAGCCUGAUGCAGCCAUGCCGCGUGUGUGUGAAGAAGGCCUUCGGGUUGUAAAGCACUUUCAGCGGGGAGGAAGGCGGUGAGGUUAAUAACCUCAUCGAUUGACGUUACCCGCAGAAGAAGCACCGGCUAACUCCGUGCCAGCAGCCGCGGUAAUACGGAGGGUGCAAGCGUUAAUCGGAAUUACUGGGCGUAAAGCGCACGCAGGCGGUCUGUCAAGUCGGAUGUGAAAUCCCCGGGCUCAACCUGGGAACUGCAUUCGAAACUGGCAGGCUAGAGUCUUGUAGAGGGGGGUAGAAUUCCAGGUGUAGCGGUGAAAUGCGUAGAGAUCUGGAGGAAUACCGGUGGCGAAGGCGGCCCCCUGGACAAAGACUGACGCUCAGGUGCGAAAGCGUGGGGAGCAAACAGGAUUAGAUACCCUGGUAGUCCACGCCGUAAACGAUGUCGAUUUGGAGGUUGUGCCCUUGAGGCGUGGCUUCCGGAGCUAACGCGUUAAAUCGACCGCCUGGGGAGUACGGCCGCAAGGUUAAAACUCAAAUGAAUUGACGGGGGCCCGCACAAGCGGUGGAGCAUGUGGUUUAAUUCGAUGCAACGCGAAGAACCUUACCUGGUCUUGACAUCCACAGAACUUUCCAGAGAUGGAUUGGUGCCUUCGGGAACUGUGAGACAGGUGCUGCAUGGCUGUCGUCAGCUCGUGUUGUGAAAUGUUGGGUUAAGUCCCGCAACGAGCGCAACCCUUAUCCUUUGUUGCCAGCGGUCCGGCCGGGAACUCAAAGGAGACUGCCAGUGAUAAACUGGAGGAAGGUGGGGAUGACGUCAAGUCAUCAUGGCCCUUACGACCAGGGCUACACACGUGCUACAAUGGCAUAUACAAAGAGAAGCGACCUCGCGAGAGCAAGCGGACCUCAUAAAGUAUGUCGUAGUCCGGAUUGGAGUCUGCAACUCGACUCCAUGAAGUCGGAAUCGCUAGUAAUCGUAGAUCAGAAUGCUACGGUGAAUACGUUCCCGGGCCUUGUACACACCGCCCGUCACACCAUGGGAGUGGGUUGCAAAAGAAGUAGGUAGCUUAACCUUCGGGAGGGCGCUUACCACUUUGUGAUUCAUGACUGGGGUGAAGUCGUAACAAGGUAACCGUAGGGGAACCUGCGGUUGGAUCACCUCCUUACCUUAAAGAA